rnacentral:rRNA from 1 species
AUUGAACGCUGGCGGCAGGCCUAACACAUGCAAGUCGGGCGAGCGGCGGACGGGUGAGAAAUGUAUGGGGAUCUGCCUGAUGGAGGGGGAUAACUACUGGAAACGGUAGCUAAUACCGCAUACCAUAGGAUGAGCCCAAGUGGGCUUAGGUAGUUGGUGAGGUAAAGGCUAACCAAGCCGACGAUCUCUAGCUGGUCUGAGAGGAUGACCGGCAACACUGGGACUGGGACACGGCCCAGACUCCUACGGGAGGCAGCAGUGGGAAAUAUUGCGCAUGGGGGGCAGCCUGACGCAGCCAUGCCGCGUGAAUGAAGAAGGCCUUCGGGUUGUAAGGUUCUUUCGGUAGCGAGGCGUUAACUACAGAGGAAGCGACGGCUAACUACGUGCCAGCAGCCGCGGUAAUAC